UUCCGGUUGAUCCCGCCGGACCCAACCGCUAUCGGGGUGAGGCUAAGCCAUGGAAGUCGCACGCCCCGGUUACCGGGGCGUGGCGGACGGCUGAGUAACACGUGGCUAACCUAACCUCGGGACGGGGACAACCCCGGGAAACUGGGGCUGAUCCCCGAUAGGUGAGGAGGCCUGGAAGGGUUCCUCACCUAAAGGGUGGUGUGGGGAUGUCCGCAUCACCGCCCGAGGAUGGGGCCACGGCCCAUCAGGUAGUUGGCGGGGUAACGGCCCGCCAAGCCGAUAACGGGUAGGGGCCGUGAGAGCGGGAGCCCCCAGAUGGGCCCUGAGACAAGGGCCCAGGCCCUACGGGGCGCACCAGGCGCGAAAACUCCGCAAUGCGGGCAACCGUGACGGGGCCACCCCGAGUGCCCCCUUUCCGGGGGCUUUUCCCCGCUGUAGGUAGGCGGGGGAAUAAGCGGGGGGCAAGUCUGGUGUCAGCCGCCGCGGUAAUACCAGC
rnacentral:rRNA from 1 species